GGAAAUCUUGAGGAGUCUGACACUUUUCAUCCUCCAGCCAUUAAUCAUUUUGUGGGGGAGAGCUGUACAUUGGUGGGAGUAAAAGACAAGUAGUUCCUGGCACCCUACAUUCCAGUAAAUCUUGUGACUGGAAGCAUGUUGGCACCAAUGCUGAAGGACAUGAUGAGCUUCAGCUCCAGGUUCCUGUCCUGAGACCAUAGCAGAAUGUGCCUUGGACAAAGGCUUCAACUCCUGGAUCAUCUGAUGACUUCAAAAAUCUGGUCUCAGGGUGGUGAACGUUUUUGAAUUCAAAACCUGUGAGCUUGUGAUGAUGGUGCCUGUCCAUUAAAUGAGAAACUGCAGUUUUGAACUUUUUGAGGCCAGGAACUGCUUCUGACAACCCCUACCUACGGUGGCUAACAAGGUAUGUCUACAAUACCCAAAAUAUUUCCUAACCACCUCUUAUAUUUGAACCCUAAUUCCCAAUGCAUUAACAAUGAUAGGUAGCUGACAACAAAUAGUGAUGAGA